CAAUUAGCUUAAUGUCGAUGUAGAUGUAAAUUACUUUACAAUCAAAUCAAAACAAAAGCCGAGACACAAAGCCCAGACAAAAACCAAACGAGCCGUCCGUCUCCGUCAUUAUUCUUUUGUAUAAACCCUGCCGGUCGUUUUCGUUGAACGUAUGCUGACGGGUCGUUACGUUGCUGGUGUAUGUGAAUGUUUUCAUGAGAAUUGCAUGGUAGAAUCAUUGACGUAUCGUGACGUGACGGGACGUGAACGUGACGUGUAUGUUGUAUGUGAAUCGCACUUAAAACUGCAACGGCCGUACGUUUUUUUCUCUCAGCGUUUGGAUCGAUUAAUCGACGUAAAUUAUUCGUUCGCUUCGAUUAUUGGUUGUGCAGUAUUCGUUCGAUUAAUAAUCGAUUUCUGUAGGAAGUAUUCGAUUAAUCGAUUAAUCGAACGAUUAUCGGGGAUCACUAUUCAUGAGCCGGUGAUUUUAUUGUAUUUUGAAUACAAUUUGGUUGCAGAAAAAAUAGUUACAAUGAAAGUGUUUUGUUGUUUUCUUAUAAUAAGAUUACUUUCUGCAUUUUUUCUACACAUAACUGAUUGUGAUGAAACUUAUAAUUAUUGGGAGCCGCUACAUUAUUUGACCCAAGGGAAAGGACUUCAAACAUGGGAGUAUAGUCCAGAGUAUGGGUUGCGGUCAUAUUUCUAUUUAUUAUUACAUGCGGUUCCAUCGUUCUUACUGAAAACAAUUCUCGAUGUUGAUGCAAUUAUUGCUUUUUAUGCUACACGCUGUAUGUUAGCAGUAAUAUGCUCCGUAAUGGAAACAAUUCUUUUCAAAGUUAUUAGUCAAUGUUUUGGAAACAAAAUUGCCAGUUGGUGGUUGACUUUUCAACUAAUAAGCCCGGGUUUAUUCAUAUCUGGUACAGCGUUACUCCCAAGCUCGUUUUCGAUGUAUUUGACAAUGGCUUUACAUUCGGCAUGGUGGAGUAAAAAAAUAAAACUUCCCAUUUUCCUUACAGUUGUUUCGACUUUUGUAGCUUACAUGGUUUCGGGACCAAGGGUAGAGAUUAAGGACAAUGAAAAACAUGAAUCAGGUAUAAAGCAUACUUAAAGCUACUUUUACAGUUUCACAGUUUAUAACGAGUUUUAAGUUUUCUUUCCAUUGCUUUAGAACUUGUCUCUGAAAAAAACCAUAGUGAAUUUUCGAAUCUGUUUUGGAAAUUACCCAUGUAUAAAGUUCUUUUGCAUUUGUAAUGUGAUGACCCUGUAAACUUGCUUUAGCAGCAUUCCGCUUCAAAACUCCUCCUAAAGCGUCACAUGGACCUUUCCCAUAGCAUCUGGCGAAAAAGUUCCACUCCGCAUCUAUACCAAACUCUUUUUUCAUUUGGCACAAAUUAAAGGCUGUCAUCUCAUUUUUGUAGUGACUACCUGAUCCAUCUGAGAAAAAGUUAACUUUCUUAAGGUCAGGCAACUUCCUUUUGAUAAAAUUAACACAAUCUACAAUGAAUAAACGAACUGCAACGUGGUUAUGCUUGGAAGACUCCGCGUUUGCAGUGAAACUGGUAAACUUUGAAUCUGAAGUAUGAUCAUCCUUAUAAUAAAUAGCAAAUGUGUGAAUAGUGAAACUCUAUCUUAAUUGCAGGAUAUUGUUCUUUGAAAAUGGCGUAAGCUUCUUGUAAAUUACAUUACACGUUGUAUAUAUACCUUGCCAUCAACAUUUUUUGAAAUAACAUAGUCUCGUUUUCAUGGACACGCUCGACUUAUUUCGUAACUGGUAUAGAAAUCACGCACGAGCGAUAGAGUUUCUUCUGCCAAAGACGCACUGCUUAGCCUUUUAGUCGGUGUUGUCAUUAUGCCCUUGUCCCCCUGUAGUAUUUUAGCCCAUUCUGCCAUAUGUUGAGAAACAUCGAAUUCCUUCUUUAUUUUAUAGGCUGUUCAGCUUUUAGGCAAAGUAGUGAGAAUACGAUACUUCUCAUUAUUGUCAUGAGUUUUUCGAAACUUUUCCUUGAGUUGCUGAAUUAUUUCAUCCUCGCUUGUAGAAGGUACGCUGGUAAUAAUCCUGAUUGAUUCCAAACUGGGUGUUUCUAGCGACGGUAAUGACACUGAAAUUUAAUAAAAAAUAUAUAUUUAGCAACCUGGCGAACAAUUAACUUAUUAGACUCGUUAUUAGAAUUUUUACUAAUACACUCAAGUCAGUUUAUUGAAACCUAAAGCUUACCUUGGCUGUCGACAGCAGGAACUUCGGAUGGAUCAGCGAUGGGCUCUUCGGCCACAUAAGGAGGAAAGAUUUUUAUUUCCAGUGUACCCUUUACUGACUUUGUGUGGAGCCGUAUCCAUUUGUACGACAGGAACAAUCGCG